AUUGAACGCUGGCGGCAUGCUUUACACAUGCAAGUCGAACGGUAACAGGCCGCAAGGUGCUGACGAGUGGCGAACGGGUGAGUAAUGCAUCGGAACGUGCCCAGUCGUGGGGGAUAACGCAGCGAAAGCUGCGCUAAUACCGCAUACGAUCUAUGGAUGAAAGCGGGGGACCGUAAGGCCUCGCGCGAUUGGAGCGGCCGAUGUCAGAUUAGGUAGUUGGUGGGGUAAAGGCUCACCAAGCCAACGAUCUGUAGCUGGUCUGAGAGGACGACCAGCCACACUGGGACUGAGACACGGCACAGACUCCUACGGGAGGCAGCAGUGGGGAAUUUUGGACAAUGGGCGCAAGCCUGAUCCAGCAAUGCCGCGUGCAGGAAGAAGGCCUUCGGGUUGUAAACUGCUUUUGUACGGAACGAAACGGCUCUGGUUAAUACCUGGGGCUAAUGACGGUACCGUAAGAAUAAGCACCGGCUAACUACGUGCCAGCAGCCGCAGUAAUAC
rnacentral:rRNA from 1 species